GAAACGAGAGCAUAAAUACGGAUGAUAAUCGUAAGGUUUCUUCAUGUUCUUUUCCUUUAGUCUGGUUUAGCCGCAGUUGGUUUUCUUCCGUCAACCAGCUUGAGUCCGAGGUAGGCAAGUUGGUGCAUUAACUGGUUCUGUAACUGGCAGUGCAUCCCUACAGACUCAAGCUUGUGUCCCUCCUCAGAAUGCAGAUAAUCCUUCUCCCUCUAAUAAUCCAAAACAGAGUGUUGCUGAAAAGAAGCCACGAUCUCAUUUUGUGCCUAAGGAACCAACAAAACCUUCCUCACCACCAGCUCCAAAGGCUAGCCAGCCUUUUACUGACAUUUUUGGUGCUCCCAUAAGGACAAAAAGUUCUCCAGACCCAUCUGUGAAAUCAAAAG